GGAAGAGUCGGUGGAAGAAGAUUGGAAGAAAUUUAAAGACUAUUUACAGAAAUAUUGUAAAAUUAAUGAAUGAUAGAAUGAUGUUGGAUAGUAAUUAAGCGGUUUCUAGCUGUAAUGCUUUAAGAGAAUAUGAAAAAAGGGUUAUAAAUGGGUUAAAAUCUAAUGGUAAGGAUUUGCUGAACCAAUAAAUUGAAGUGGAAUACAAAAAAGGGAGGUACGAGGAGGUCCGGGAAACAAGCUAAAGGAAAAUAAGUAACUGAAAAUAUGUGUGUUUUUAACUGUUUUUAUUUUGUAUUUUUCUCUUUUCUUUUUCAUUUCUAUUGUAAUAUUUUUAAAAAAACCUUUAAAAAUACAUUUCUUUAUUUUCCCCUUCUUUUUAAUCUUCUCUAGUCCCUUAAUUAAUUUAAUUUCCCUUUUUUUCUGUUUGAUUUCCCACCCCACCCCUUACCCUGCCCUGUGGGAAGAUCCUCCCUGCACCUGUGAGCGCUGCCUGUGCAUCAUCCUCCUUGGCUUGCCUUUCCCAAUAGGGAGAGAGCCCCCAUUAGGGGCUUUCUUUUGCAGAAAGGUUUUCCCCAUUUUCGCCUGUUUAAUUGUGGGGCUAGUCAGGGCUGCUCCCAGCUUACCUGGAAUCACUUUCAUUUAUAGUAUCCCCAUAGGUUGGCUUUAUUUUGGGUGCGUGCAGUGCUGUUGGCCGAGUUUUAAUCUAGCCUUGGGCGGGAGCACUGUUUUGAGUUCCUUUAAUAUUGCAAUGAGACAAAAAAGGCAGAGAGCAGACGCAGGGAGGCCAUCACGGCCUGCACGGCCUGCACAUAUCAUUCAAGCCUAAGCCUGCUACAGUUAGCAGUACAGUGAAUUGUUAAGUUUCUGUGACAUGUGACUCAUUCUCUCUAUAAGAAUGUAUCUGUUGUUUGCAGGCUCACUUGUUGCUAAUGUAUAUCUGAGGCAGACAGAGUGGAGCCAGAGGCUCUCUGUGCCUCCAAUGAGCACUCUUUGUAUGCUCUUUAACUAUGCUGUUUCUGAACAAGUUUAUUUUCUUCAAGUUUGUUUUCCCUGAUAGUGGCGACUGCCAUUUUAGAGACAAGCCAUUGUGGCUUAGUGGCUAGAGUACAGGACUAGGACCUGGGAGACAGGGUUCAUAUCCCUCACUUAGCCAUUGUUAUAACAAGGCAAAACAAGCUGCUCCUUUUGGACUAUUUUGUUGCUGGGUAGUCUGGCCCAUUUGUGAUAUUGCUCCCAAAAAGAACUUUGGGUUUCUUGAGGAGGUGCUUCCCUCUAAAGGGCAAGCAGGGGUACCUGGACAGGAAGGGGGGCUGCCUCGAGUUUGUUAUCUCAUUGGAAACAUUUAUGUCUGGCCUAGCAGGUGAUCCUAGGGCUUGGCCCGCUUGGCCCUAGAAUUUGAUGGCCUCUGGCAGCGUUUCUGGCCUGAAUAGCGUCCCCAUGUGGUGCACAAAGCAUUGGUUUCACCUGUUCCUCACAUUGUUUAGGUUUUUUCUUUUUGCAGACUAUGACAGGGCCUUUGCAGAUGCCUCCAGAGCUUGCCUCUCCUGCAGAGGAUGACUUGUUGAUGCCCCAGGUGCCUUCUUCGGGAAGGAAGCGUCUUCAGAGGCAGGAAAAAGCGGAGCAGGGAUGAUGCUUACACCUCCUUGCAGGUAAAUCAUCACUGGGCUCUGAUGAUGAUUCAGACAUCACCUUGGACCUCUCCAGGGGUCAGGGUGAGGCUGUUCCAGGUCUUUAGGGAUCAUCCUGGAUAGCUCAGCUGGUCAGCGUAUGGUGCCGGUAAUGCCUAGGUUGCAGGAUUGGUCCCUGUAUGGGACAGCUGCAUGCUCCCUCAUCACUUUACCCGGACACUGAGGUCCAGCGCCGAGGGCCUUUCUGGUGGUUCCCUCACUGUGAGAAGCCAAGUUACAGGGAACCAGGUGGAGGGCCUUCUCGGAAGUGGCACCUGCCCUGUGGUACACCCUCCCACCAGAUGUCUACUACCAGACUUUUAGAAGACAUCUAAGGCAGCCCUGUUUAGGGAAGCUUUUAAUGUUUGAUGCAUUACUGUAUUUUAAUAUUUUGUUGGAAGCUGCCCAGAGUGGCUGGGGAAGCCCAGCCAGAUGGGUGGGGUACAAAUAGAUUAUGAUGAUGAUGAUGAUGAUGAUGAUGAUGGUAUUGUGGGAGAGUGGACUAGAUGAUCCUAGGAGUCCCUUCCAACCCCACUAUUCUAUAAGUGGUAAUUCACUAUGAUGGGAAUGUUAGACGCAGGGCUGCCAUCAUCCCCUUAGCUCGCUAGGAUCGCAGGGACGGGGACAUGUGGACCACUUGCGCAGCUCCACAUUUCAAAUGGAAAUUCCCUGAGCAGUAGAACCUGAAGCUGGUAUGCAGGAAGCUGGCCCGGUGGCAGCUUUGUUGGGACUUCAAUCAAAACAGUAAUAAUCAAAACAGUAAUAAUAAAAAAAAUGUAAUAAGAAAUACAUAAUAAAAAACCGGUUCUCAAAAGGAAGACAACUUUCACCUGGGAGCCUUCCUCUCCUCUUCCCAUCCCACCCAGGCUCAUCUUCACUUUCUUGCCUCUCUCUGCUUUCCAUCUUGUAUCUGCCACUUUCAUGUGAGUACAGUCCUUGAUCCC